AAAUUGAAGAGUUUGAUCAUGGCUCAGAUUGAACGCUGGCGGCAGGCCUAACACAUGCAAGUCGAACGGUAACAGGAAGCAGCUUGCUGUUUUGCUGACGAGUGGCGGACGGGUGAGUAAUGUCUGGGAAACUGCCUGAUGGAGGGGGAUAACUACUGGAAACGGUAGCUAAUACCGCAUAACGUCGCAAGACCAAAGAGGGG
rnacentral:rRNA from 1 species